rnacentral:rRNA from 1 species
GACGUAGGGGGCCAGCGUUGUUCGGAAUUACUGGGUGUAAAGGGUUCGUAGGCGGUGCGGCAAGUCGGGAGUGAAAUCUCUGGGCUUAACCCAGAGGCUGCUUCCGAAACUGCUGUGCUUGAGUGUGGGAGAGGCGCGUGGAAUUGCAGGUGUAGCGGUGAAAUGCGUAGAUAUCUGCAGGAACACCCGUGGCGAAAGCGGCGCGCUGGACCACUACUGACGCUGAGGAACGAAAGCGUGGGGAUCAAACAGG